UGGAUCGUAGCUCAGUUGGUAGAGCGCCUCACUGUUAAUGAGGUGGUCGCAGGAUCGAAGCCUGCCGAUCCAGCCA
rnacentral:tRNA from 1 species